AGGAGUAAGUCUGCUUAGAUGGCAUGUCGCUUUGGGCAAAGCGUAAAAAGCCCAAAUAAAAUUAAACGCAAACAACGUUAAAUUCGCUCCUGCUUACGCUAAAGCUGCGUAAGUUCAGUUGAGCCUGAAAUUUAAGUCAUACUAUCUAGCUUAAUUUUCGGUCAUUUUUGAUAGUGUAGCCUUGCGUUUGACAAGCGUUGAGGUGAAAUAAAGUCUUAGCCUUGCUUUUGAGUUUUGGAAGAUGAGCGAAGUAGGGUGAAGUAGUCAUCUUUGCUAAGCAUGUAGAGGUCUUUGUGGGAUUAUUUUU
rnacentral:tmRNA from 1 species